rnacentral:rRNA from 1 species
UUAAAGGGCUGCAGUAUAUUGACUGUACAAAGGUAGCAUAAUCAUUAGUCAUUUAAUUGAUGACUUGUAUGAAGGAUUGGAUGAAAUAUAAACUGUCUCUUAAUUAUAUUUAGAAUUUAAUUUUUUAAUUAAAAAGUUAAAAUAAAUUAGAAAGACGAGAAGACCCUAUAGAGUUUUAUAGGUAAAAUUAAUUGAGAUUAUUUGUGAAGGUUAAAAUUAAGAUUAAUUUAUUUAUUUUGUUGGGGUGACAGAAAAAUAUGAAAAACUUUUUAUAUAUUUAAAACAUUAAUAAGUGGUUAAAUGAUCCAAUAUUAUUGAUUAUAAGAAAAAAUUACCUUAGGGAUAACAGCGUAAUUUUUUUUUUUAGUUCACAUAAAAAAAAAAGUUUGCGACCUCGAUGUUGGAUUAAGAUAAAAUUUAAAUGCAGAAG